rnacentral:tRNA from 1 species
GAAGGUAUAGAUCAGUGGUAGAGUACUUGCUUAGCACACAUUAGGUCCUGCGUUCAAUUCCCAGUACCUCCA